rnacentral:rRNA from 1 species
CAGCAGCCGCGGGAAUACAGAGGGUGCGAGCGUUAAUCGGAUUUACUGGGCGUAAAGCGUGCGUAGGCGGCUUUUUAAGUCGGAUGUGAAAUCCCUGAGCUUAACUUAGGAAUUGCAUUCGAUACUGGGAAGCUAGAGUAUUGGAGAGGAUGGUAGAAUUCCAGGUGUAGCGGUGAAAUGCGUAGAGAUCUGGAGGAAUACCGAUGGCGAAGGCAGCCAUCUGGCCUAAUACUGACGCUGAGGUACGAAAGCAUGGGGAGCAAACAGGAUUAGAUACCCCUGUAGUCCCUGUCUCUUAUAC